GACGAACGCUGGCGGCGUGUUUAACACAUGCAAGUCGAACGGAAAGGCCCUGCUUUUGUGGGGUGCUCGAGUGGCGAACGGGUGAGUAACACGUGAGUAACCUGCCCUUGACUUUGGGAUAACUUCAGGAAACUGGGGCUAAUACCGGAUAGGAGCUCCUGCUGCAUGGUGGGGGUUGGAAAGUUUCGGCGGUUGGGGAUGGACUCGCGGCUUAUCAGCUUGUUGGUGGGGUAGUGGCUUACCAAGGCUUUGACGGGUAGCCGGCCUGAGAGGGUGACCGGCCACAUUGGGACUGAGAUACGGCCCAGACUCCUACGGGAGGCAGCAGUGGGGAAUAUUGCACAAUGGGCGGAAGCCUGAUGCAGCAACGCCGCGUGCGGGAUGACGGCCUUCGGGUUGUAAACCGCUUUCGCCUGUGACGAAGCGUGAGUGACGGUAAUGGGUAAAGAAGCACCGGCUAACUACGUGCCAGCAGCCGCGGUGAUACGUAGGGUGCGAGCGUUGUCCGGAUUUAUUGGGCGUAAAGGGCUCGUAGGUGGUUGAUCGCGUCGGAAGUGUAAUCUUGGGGCUUAACCCUGAGCGUGCUUUCGAUACGGGCUGACUUGAGGAAGGUAGGGGAGAAUGGAAUUCCUGGUGGAGCGGUGGAAUGCGCAGAUAUCAGGAGGAACACCAGUGGCGAAGGCGGUUCUCUGGGCCUUUCCUGACGCUGAGGAGCGAAAGCGUGGGGAGCGAACAGGCUUAGAUACCCUGGUAGUCCACGCUGUAAACGGUGGGUACUAGGUGUGGGGUCCAUUCCACGGGUUCCGUGCCGUAGCUAACGCUUUAAGUACCCCGCCUGGGGAGUACGGCCGCAAGGCUAAAACUCAAAGGAAUUGACGGGGCCCCGCACAAGCGGCGGAGCAUGCGGAUUAAUUCGAUGCAACGCGUAGAACCUUACCUGGGUUUGACAUGGAUCGGGAGUGCUCAGAGAUGGGUGUGCCUCUUUUGGGGUCGGUUCACAGGUGGUGCAUGGCUGUCGUCAGCUCGUGUCGUGAGAUGUUGGGUUAAGUCCCGCAACGAGCGCAACCCUUGUUCACUGUUGCCAGCACGUUAUGGUGGGGACUCAGUGGAGACCGCCGGGGUCAACUCGGAGGAAGGUGGGGAUGACGUCAAGUCAUCAUGCCCCUUAUGUCCAGGGCUUCACGCAUGCUACAAUGGCUGGUACAGAGAGUGGCGAGCCUGUGAGGGUGAGCGAAUCUCGGAAAGCCGGUCUCAGUUCGGAUUGGGGUCUGCAACUCGACCUCAUGAAGUCGGAGUCGCUAGUAAUCGCAGAUCAGCAACGCUGCGGUGAAUACGUUCCCGGGGCU
rnacentral:rRNA from 1 species